rnacentral:rRNA from 1 species
AGUGAACGCUGGCGGUAGGCCUAACACAUGCAAGUCGAACGGCAGCACAGUAAGAGCUUGCUCUUACGGGUGGCGAGUGGCGGACGGGUGAGGAAUACAUCGGAAUCUACUUUUUCGUGGGGGAUAAUGUAGGGAAACUUACGCUAAUACCGCAUACGACCUACGGGUGGAAGCAGGGGAUCUUCGGACCUUGCGCGAUUGAAUGAGCCGAUGUCGGAUUAGCUAGUUGGCGGGGUAAAGGCCCACCAAGGCGACGAUCCGUAGCUGGUCUGAGAGGAUGAUCAGCCACACUGGAACUGAGACACGGUCCAGACUCCUACGGGAGGCGGCAGUGGGGAAUAUUGGACAAUGGGCGCAAGCCUGAUCCAGCCAUACCGCGUGGGUGAAGAAGGCCUUCGGGUUGUAAAGCCCUUUUGUUGGGAAAGAAAAGCAGCAGGUUAAUACCCCGCUGUUCUGACGGUACCCAAAGAAUAAGCACCGGCUAACUUCGU